GGACCACCGGCUGCCUCAAGACUUGCGACAGAUCGAAUUGGGGGACGAGUCAGAGGACCAUCUCCACCCUUGUAACAGUGGAUAGAGUUCUGUUUACAGCCCGAAAGAGCAUUGCCUUUGAAGAAAGAGGCAAUCGUAGGUGCGUCACCAAUUAUCCGUGCCAAAUACACAGACCCAUUGUGAACACGAGUUCAGCCGGCCCCCAUCCUCUCCUCUCUCAUUCUCAUCUGUCUCAUACCUAUCUUCCAAAUUUUGAAACCCGCGUAACCGUACGUAUAACACAGUGAGUUGUAGAGAGAGAUGACACGGGGAAAGCAGAAGAUCGAGGCGCAGAGAAAAAAUGCAGAGAAGAAUCAGAAGGCCAAAGGGUCUCAACUCGAGGCCCGUGCUGUUGGCCUCAAAGUCAUUUGCCCCGUCUGUAAAAUGCAGCUAGCAAUUCAUAAUCAGCUCAUUGAUCACUACACCUCCAAGCAUCCGAAAGAAAGACCUCCAAGCAAUUCAGAGUAAUCCCUUUGUUUCUUGGGGGAGUGGUCAGUACUUUGAAAAAUGUAAUUCGGACUACUUUUGAAUCAAAUUGAAGAGUUUCUCUACCAUGUUUAUAAUAAUGUAUCUUUCAUUUUUCUGCUCUAGAAGCAUACCUAAAUCAAACUGCAGAAAAUAAGAGAAACCAUGUUAACUCGCCGGGCAUCCUAUAAUUGAAAAAUCGUGCUAUAUGGUUUUGAAUGUGUUAAA